UCGCGCAUGCGUGUCAGCGGCCAUCACACGGUCUGGCAUAGCUGUGUGGGCGGAGCUUAUAAGACGCAAUAUCACGCCAAUUUCUUUUUUCUCUGAAGAAUUUGCAGAUAUCACCCGAGCCUGAAAGAUUCUGCAUCAACUUGGAAUGCGAAGAAAGUCACAAUAUAAGAAAUAACUCUGGAAAUCUAUGAAACAGCAAGAGAAACUUAAAACAGGUAAAAGAAUGUAAGUGAAUCUACACGAAUCCGGAAGUUUCACGAACGGCAACAUGAUAGCGAAGAAACGCAAACAAACUUUUGUUGUAUUAUCAUUUCAAUAAAGUUAUUUUUUUAUAUGAAUAUCAUCGUAUGGGAAUACUAAGCUACGGAAGAGAGAUGUCAAAAUCAAAAGAGGAAAUUCCCCAAUUGGAGUAGAUAUGAAGAAAAUUCUUCUGACUUAAAAGACAAUGAAGUAAUUAAUGAAUGACUUCAAUUGCCAUCAUGGAAGACUCUGGUUUGGAUGCAAAAGUGCAUGUCUUUGCCAUGGAAAGCAUUGCUGUUAAGGAAGAGAAAACUGCAGAGGUCAGUGAGGAGGAUUUCCUGGUAAUAAAAGAAGAAAAUUUUGAAGAUAUAUAUGAAGAGAAUACUGUCUUUAUAAAGAUAGAGGAUGAGAUAAAUGUAAGCUUUGGAAGUCAAUUGUCUGAUGAAGUCAGAAGUCUUGGUAAGAAUGAUCCAGAUGUUGUGAUGUGUAUAGAUAAAGAUCCAUUGUCAUUGUCAGGGCCAGAGCCAAAGAGAAUAGAGGAGGGUUAUGUUUGUAAAAUAUGUGGGAAGAAAUUUCCUUCCAUGAGUGCACUGGGAAUUCACACAAGAGUACACACAGGAGAGAAGCCUUAUACCUGUCAGAUUUGCAAUAAGUCAUUCCGCCAGAAAAAUAUUUUAGUGAGUCACAAGAGAGUUCAUACGAAGGAGAAAGUUAGCACUUGCAAUAUAUGCAAUAAGCAUUUCUCUUCAAAAUCAUACCUAGUUAUUCACAUGAGAGUACAUACAAAAGAAAAGCCUUAUACUUGCGAUUUAUGUAACAGGAAAUUUGCUCAGAAAGGUAGUCUAGUGGGUCACAUGACAGUACAUACAAAUGAGAAGCCUUACACUUGUGAGAUCUGCCAAAAGAGUUUUCCAUUGAAAGAUCGUGUAAGGAUUCACAUGAGAGUACAUUUUAAAAAGCAGCGAGUCCAUUGCCUUUGUGAAAUAUGCGGCAAGACUUUCGCUUCAAUUGCUUAUUUAAAGUAUCAUAAAAGAGUACAACAUGAAGGGAGGCUACCUUUUAGUUGUAAGCUUUGCAGCAUGUCUUUCACAACAAAACGUCAACUUGUUUCUCACAGGAGAAUACAUGUAAAUAAAAAACCUUAUAGUUGUAAGAUUUGCACCAAAUCUUACGCUGUAAAGGAGGGUCUUGAGACUCAUAUGAGAGUACAUACAAAUGAGAAAAGUCUUUGUUUGUAAACUUUGUGAAAAAAAAUAUAUAUUUUGUUAAAUCUAAAAUAGUACUACAUACAAACUAAAUAAGGUUUGCUGUGUUCAGUUUGAAAAGUAUUUUAGUGAAAGACAUAGGAAUACAUGCAAGAAAAAGUUGUAUAAUAGAUGUCAUUCACAUAGAAAGUGUCACAUGAUAGCUAAAGCAGGAGUUAAGUAAGGCACAACAAAUUAGGAAAAUCACCAACAAACAAAAAAAAGAAACAUUAAUCCUGUGACCUAAAGUAGCCAGAUAGAGCUCCCCCCAUUGAAACCUUGUAUGUAAUGCACCUGAUAAUUUUGAUUUGUAAGUUUACCCUUAGCCUUCACCAGAGCAUGCCUGUUUGUAGGAUGCAUGCCCUGGCAAGGUUAAGCACUUUCCCUUCAUACAAGGUUUAAUGAAAUCAAAUUUACAACUAGUGUUAUUUAUUAGUUAUAUUACAGGAAACCCAGAGUGAAAACAUGUCUUUUAACUGCCUCUCUGAUUGACCAUAGACAUACCAGUUGUUAUAAUGCAGGGGAGCCAUGAUGUGGGGAACAUCUGAAGCCAUCUAAAGCGAUCAUGAAUUAGUUGACCUAAAAGACAUCCAAUGCAAUUGAUCAUAUUUGACCUGAAUGCUAUGGCAUGACCACAUUUAGCCCAGACAAUGAUGUAAUUAAUGAAUGACUUCAAUUGCCAUCAUGGAAGACUCUGGUUUGGAUGCAAAAGUGCAUGUCUUUGCCAUGGAAAGCAUUGCUGUUAAGGAAGAGAAAACUGCAGAGGUCAGUGAGGAGGAUUUCCUGGUAAUAAAAGAAGAAAAUUUUGAAGAUAUAUAUGAAGAGAAUACUGUCUUUAUAAAGAUAGAGGAUGAGAUAAAUGUAAGCUUUGGAAGUCAAUUGUCUGAUGAAGUCAGAAGUCUCGGUAAGAAUGAUCCAGAUGUUGUGAUGUGUAUAGAUAAAGAUCCAUUGUCAUUGUCAGGGCCAGAGCCAAAGAGAAUA
rnacentral:misc_RNA from 1 species